UGUCAAAUGAAGAGACUAAGAAGUAUUCUGACCAACUUGAAUUCUUCCAUGAGCUGGUGAAUCGUUUAAACAACAAACUUCAUGGGUUUGAGGCUGAAGUCUCUGAGCUCUGGUUUGUGGAGGAGUUCGAUGUGUUGGCACUUGCCUUAGAUGGUAGAAUUAUGCCACGCAGAUUUCAUCUUGGCUGCGUAAGAACUUAAAGUUUUGACAGGUACACAAUGUAGCUAAAAGCAUUGGAAUACUUUGCCUCGACACUACAGCAGUGUACAAGGAUCGGUUGGCAACACCAUUUUGAGGGCCCAAAUUUGAGAUUCCAUAAACUGGAAAUAGAUAUUUUACCAUAAUUGUUGAUACCAUAAAUGUAUUGUACAUUAGAUGGGAGGGUCAUUAGAAAAUGUUAGAAUUGUUGCCUUGUGAUGUUGGAUACUCCCCAUAAGAAAU